UUACUAUUUUUUUCGUUAAUCUCUUAGGCUACGAGAUCUAGAAAGAAUGAAAUUUUAACGUCACCCCAAUAACGUCUACCUAAGAAAAGUCCAACGUUAAAAAUGUGUGGUGACAUUUUUGUAAAUAACGAGACCUUUUUAACGUCUGACGUGGAGCGGGCAGACGUUACUUAACGUCUGUUAAAAAAUACCCCGACGUCACUCAAAAAAGGACGUCGGACCAGAGCGCGCCAGACGUCCCUUUACGUCGGACCCUCCCACCCCCGACGUCACUUAACGUCGGACAUAACACCCCCGACGUUAAGUUUCAGUUUAUCUCUGCGCGAAACGCAGAAACCCUCGCGCUGUUCAUCGUUUACGCGAGAUUCUCACCGACGACGCCAUUUCCGACCCCCUCCAGCGUUUUGAGAUUCGUCCCACUUGCUCUUCGUUCCCAUUUGGCCAGCAGUGUGCGGAGACCCUAGACUUCCUCUCAAAGUUCGUCUUUCAAUUAGAAGAGGAACAAUGCGUGAUCAUCUUUGAAAAGAGGACCGGUAGAGCUAGAGUGGGAGUUAAGAGUAUUUGGCCUCCAUUGUCAUGUCCCAUUGUACAUAAACCUGAAUGAUGCACUAGAGAUCAUUACAGGAGACAAGAUGUUAAAUAUUUCAGUCAUACAACUAUGGUUCAUGUACAUGGACAAAGUCAUUGUGGACCAAGGUCGAUCUUCUGUCUAUGGAUUCAUUGAACCUCAAACAAUUCAACCUUCGGGAAACUCACCUGACCAAAUCAAACUUUAUUUGCAAACAUGGAUGGUUGAGUCAAAUAGAGAGAUCUACUUUGCACCAUACAUUGAUUCGUAAGUGUUUUUGCUAAUAAUAUUUUGUGAAGUAUUAUUAAUUAUUUUGGCUAAGUACUUGUGAUUGAUGGUAGGUAUCAUU